rnacentral:rRNA from 1 species
AGCGAACGCUGGCGGCAUGCCUAACACAUGCAAGUCGCACGGGGGGGCUUCGGCCUCCCAGUGGCGGACGGGUGAGGAACGCGUAGGGACCUGUCGAGGGGUGGGGGAUAACCGCGGGAAACUGCGGCUAAUACCGCAUGACGCCGCGGCGUGACAGCCGGGGCCAAAGGCGAAAGCCGCCCGCCGAGGGGCCUGCGUCCGAUUAGCUGGUUGGCGGGGUAGCGGCCCACCAAGGCGUCGAUCGGUAGCUGGUCUGAGAGGGUGCUCAGCCACACCGGGACUGAGACACGGCCCGGACUCCUACGGGGAGCAGCAGUGGGGAAUAUUGGACGAUGGGCGCAAGCCUGAUCCAGCAAUGCCGCGUGGGUGAAGAAGGUCUUCGGAUUGUAAAGCCCUUUCGGCGGGGACGAUGGUGACGGUACCCGCAGAAGAAGCCCCGGCUAACUUCGUG